rnacentral:lncRNA from 1 species
GUUUAUUUGAUAUUGUCAUGUCAUAUUACAUAACAUUGGCGAAAAUAUAUAUGUGUAUCUAUCACUUGGUUGUAGUAUAGACAGUAUUUAUAGAUAAAUUAGAUCAAUAAUGGAUUUAUUUAUGUUUUUUUAAUUUACUGUACCUGGAGAAAUGUCAAAUUCCAGACAAUGUUCCUAUUUGGAAUUUAGUAACCAUGACACCGUGACGAACACACUAAUCUUUCUUUUAAAAGUUGAAUAAAUGCUGUUCUAAAUGCUUUAUUACAUGAAGAUAAUAUUACAUCCGUUUAAAUAUAAAAGAUUUGAUACAGUAUAUUUAUGGACACACACACACAGAGAGAGAGAGAGAGACAGAGCGAGAUUUAAAAGCACCUUAAAGCAUUUGAUUUACUUAUGGCAUCACAUAUGUGUAUAUUCCAAAAUGCUGUAUUUCUUUGGCCAACCUGGGCCGUUGCUCAAGGAAUAAACUCUGAGACAUGGCACAUGGAAGAGCACUGACAACUGAAUCAAUCUUCCAGUGCACGGUUCAUAGUUCCUGUAUAGUCAUUAUCUUCAUGACCAUAGUGACCACAUCCCAAUCCAUCUGUCACGUCAACCAAUGUGUCUAUGCAGUGGUCAUAUACACACACACAAACACACUGUAUACACACAUUAAUAUAGAGGAAGCCUAAGAGGUCAGACACACCAAGAAAACUGACGGCCAAGCUCAAACUUCUGUACAAGAAGGAGAGAGGAAAAAGAGAAGUUAACGCCAUUCAAUGGACGGCAUUACCAGACAGUAUUAGACAGGGAUAAUUAGAUCUAACCAUGUCUGGUAAGACGCCAAUCAACAGGCUAGGGAGCUAGGACUGAAGGACGCUCUGAACCAACCGUCCACUGUACGCAGAGGGAGACAGCUGAAAGAGACAGGAUGAGAUACAGGAAGAGACAGGCUGAAAAGAUACAGUAUGUCUGUCUGUCUGUCUGUUUUACCUAUUAAAUUGGGAUGUAUUUUUCUUCCUGGAAGACGACAUGGAACGGGGUAGUAGUCUGCCAUAAGGGAUCAACCUAUUUAACUCUAUGGCUAUUUAUCAUUUGUUUAUGAUUUAUUUUUUUACAGAAUUCUAAUUGGAACAAAAGUUCUCCAAUGAAGCCUUGUAAAACAACAAAAGGAACUACAGAUAGAGCUGUGGGAUAUAUUUAGCUGUGAUAAAAAAAAGAGUAAUCAUUCAUAUGAAGGGAUGAGAGAGGGGUGAGGCUGAAGGGGAGUGGUAAGGAGUCAAGGAGGAUGUUGUUGACUCUAUUUUUAUCAUAAGUGCUCAGGUGAGCUUGUGUCAGUUUCAGGAUGUGCCAUGUAGAUAAGCAGUGCUGGACCAAUCACGGUGACACAACACAAGCCACACGCUACAGAGGGGAGGGGAUACAAAAAUGAGUGGCGGUGCGACCGGUUGAACCGUGAACCGACUUGUAUUCUUUAACACAGGUUGGGUGGGGCCACCCUAAAACAGGACAGGGAAGUGGAAUACAAAGGCUGGGUGAGCUAGGGCCCCUAAUGGUCUCCUCUACUCGUUCCCCAGGAAAAGGCAAUUUCCAGUCGUGCCUCUAAUCUUCUCCAUUUGUUUGAAUUGAUUCUUAACUGAGGAACACUGAGAUAUUUCAAUUACUUGGAUUGCCAAAACACCACCACAUGUGCCAUACAUUUUCCCAAUACAAUUCACAAAAUAAGCACUUCAUAGGCCUAUCUUUUCUACAAAUAAAUGACGAGGUAAAAUGGAGCUUCUUUCAGAUGUAUAGUUUUAGCUAGCGGAAUAAAGGCAUGUCAAUAGAAGAAGAUUUAAGACAAUCUCUUACAGAUAGAUGCAACCCUAAACCAAGUCUUCUUAUCAGUGAUAUCAGACCUCAAAUUCUUGAAGAAAGAUACAGAGUUCAAACUGGAGUCAAGUUCUAUCACUACAGAUAAUCUGAUCAGGUAUUGUCUAUGGUAUGCUUUCAUAAAGUGGUCACACCUGACCCUUUAAUCACAUCCUUAGCUGAGGUGAAUCUCUGGAGGUAGGUGGGUCACCCAGGAAACAUCGUUACCAGACAGUGUUAGAACUUUUUUGUACAAUCCAGCACUGUCAGGUAAGAUGGAUCCUGAAAGCCAUUUCAGCGUAAACCAGAGCAUUUCAUUGUGAGAAAAAAAAUGGCCGCCAAGCUGAGGUAAAGUGUGCUUAUGUAGCUAGCUAACG